GCUGUCGUCAGCUCGUGUUGUGAAAUGUUGGGUUAAGUCCCGCAACGAGCGCAACCCUUAUCCUUUGUUGCCAGCGGUCCGGCCGGGAACUCAAAGGAGACUGCCAGUGAUAAACUGGAGGAAGGUGGGGAUGACGUCAAGUCAUCAUGGCCCUUACGACCAGGGCUACACACGUGCUACAAUGGCGCAUACAAAGAGAAGCGACCUCGCGAGAGCAAGCGGACCUCAUAAAGUGCGUCGUAGUCCGGAUUGGAGUCUGCAACUCGACUCCAUGAAGUCGGAAUCGCUAGUAAUCGUGGAUC
rnacentral:rRNA from 1 species